rnacentral:tRNA from 2 species
UACUGUUAUAGUUUAAAAGAACAUUAGUUUGUGGAGCUAAAGGAGAGCAUUUCUGACAGUAU